rnacentral:rRNA from 1 species
GGAUGAACGCUAGCGGCAGGCUUAAUACAUGCAAGUCGUGGGGCAGCAUGAGUAGCAAUACUUGAUGGCGACCGGCAAACGGGUGAGGAACACGUACACAACCUUCCUUCAAGCGGGGAAUAGCCCAGAGAAAUUUGGAUUAAUACCCCAUAAUAUAUUUGAUAAGGCAUCUUAUUAAUAUUAAAGCUUCGGCACUUGAUGAUGGGUGUGCGGCUGAUUAGAUAGUUGGCGGGGUAACGGCCCACCAAGUCUACGAUCAGUAGCUGAUGUGAGAGCAUGAUCAGCCACACGGGCACUGAGACACGGGCCCGACUCCUACGGGAGGCAGCAGUAAGGGAUAUUGGACAAUGGACGAAAGUCUGAUCCAGCCAUGCCGCGUGAAGGAUUAAGGUCCUCUGGAUUGUAAACUUCUUUUAUAUGGGACGAAAAAGGGGCAUUCUUGUUCACUUGACGGUACCAUAUGAAUAAGCACCGGCUAACUCCGUG